rnacentral:rRNA from 1 species
GAUGAACGCUGGCUACAGGCUUAACACAUGCAAGUCGAGGGGAAACGACGGGGAAUUUUGCUUCUCCGGGUGUCGACCGGCGCACGGGUGAGUAACGCGUAUCCAACCUGCCUCUGACUGAGGGAUAACCCGCCGAAAGUCGGCCUAAUACCUCAUGGCAUCGUCUGCGGGCAUCCAACGACGAUUAAAGAUUUCAUCGGUCAGUGAUGGGGUUGCGUCUGCUUGGCUUGUUGGUGGGGUAACGGCCCACCAAGGAUACGAUCAGUAGGGGUUCUGAGAGGAGGGUCCCCCACAAUGGAACUGAGACACAGUCCAAACUGCUACGGGAGAGAGCAGUGAGGAAUGUUGGUCAAGGGGCGGGGGCCUGAACCAGCCAAGUAGGGUGCAGGAUGACGGCGCUAGGGAUUAUAAGCUGCUUGUAUGCGGGGAUAAAGUGAGGGACGUGUCCUUCAUUGAAGGUACCGCAUGAAUAAGGACCGGCUAAUUACGUG